GCCGGGGUAGCUCAUUUGGUAGAGCGGCGUUAUCGUAAACCGUAGGUCGUGGGUUCGACUCCCACCUCCGGCU
rnacentral:tRNA from 1 species